UACGGGGGGGCAAGCGUUGUUCGGAAUUACUGGGCGUAAAGGGCUCGUAGGCGGCCAACUAAGUCAGACGUGAAAUCCCUCGGCUUAACCGGGGGAACUGCAUCUGAUACUGGAUGGCUUGAGUUUGGGAGAGGGAUGCGGAAUUCCAGGUGUAGCGGUGAAAUGCGUAGAUAUCUGGAGGAACACCGGUGGCGAAGGCGGCAUCCUGGGACCAACACUG
rnacentral:rRNA from 1 species